AACUCGUACCUGGAGCGCCCAGCUUGCGGAUUUUGAACGGCGGAGGGCUCCGCGCGUCUUCCCCGCCGCCAACCGCCGUCGCAGUUCUUGUGGGGGAGGGGGUGGGGUCGUUGAGAUUGCUAUACUCGCCGCCGCCAGCCAUCGCAGUUGGGUGUUCACUCCUGAUAUUCACCGCCGUGCACGUGUGCCUCAAAAAAACUUCAAGCC
rnacentral:lncRNA from 1 species